AAAAUAGCCAUUUUAUACAUGUUAAAUAAUACGAAACAUGGACUUCAAUUGGAUGGGAGAAAAUUAAUAAUACUAAGAGUUUGACAUGAGUAGAACUAACGAUCUCAUGCUCUGAUCUAAUAUUAAAUAAUACGAAACAACCGUUAUUCGCUAAAAACUUAAACUGAUAAAAAGUAGUAUUUAAAUAUUUGUAUAUUUAACAAUACAUAUAUACAUGCUCCAAAUUAAAGAGUAUUUUCUAUUAGCCUUGAUGUGGCAAUUUUAUUUACCAAGUACUAUAAGUAUACGGUGCUAUAUAAUUUAACUAAUUAACAUAAUAACUACAAAUUUUUUAUGCUAAUGAAGCACCGACACGAUUGUUAGAUAUUGCCUUUGUAACGGCCGUAGCACUAAUAAUGGUUUUAAAUAUAAUUUUUGGUGAUCCCAAAGUGUUACUAUAUAUUGUGUGUGUGUGUAUAUAACUAUAUAUAGCCAUCAUUUUACUAUGCCCUACAUCCAUAUUUUUCUUUGUAGAUUGUCUUUAUGUGCCACUGAAGUGUACCCCAAAAAAAAGUGUUCUCCAUUCACUUUCGAGGUUAGAAAGGUAAAAAAGUGUUCACUAUUCACUUUGCUUUAUAGUUCUUUUUUACCAUAUAUAUGAAAGGUGCCUAUCUAUCUGUCUAUGAGUUGAAUCUAAGGUAUAUAUGUAAUUACACUUAAGGGGUAAGUUGAGGUGAAAAUGUGUUUAAGGAUGUUACGACAAACACACAAACGAAAACGAAAAUAGCAAAUAUGAAAUAAACAAAUCACAAACAGAAAUAGAAGAACACACAGAUUUACGUGAAAAAUUUUUUGUAGGGAAAAAUCACGGACGAGGAAGGAGAGAACUUUACUAUCGAACGAAAAAGAAAAUACAAUAUUCAAAGAGUACAACCGAUCACGAUCUCACGCCUCUAGGGCAAAAAUGAAAAGGAAACUCUUAACGGGUUUUGGAUCUGAUCUCGAGCCCGUAGCCCAUCAUUGUCAUUCAUUUUUUCUUCACAAUUUAAUUUUUCAAUUUGGUCGCACCGCAAAACUGUCGGCGAGUCGAAAACCCGAACUUAAAUCGAUUAUCAAUUUCGAGUCACAUCUAACAAAGAACUCUCCGUUUGUUUUCUCAACUUUUUCGUACUCUAAUUUGAAUUAUUUAAGUCAGCU
rnacentral:lncRNA from 1 species